GGGCGCAGCCGCGCCUUAAAUCUAGACGGGGGUCUCCGCGGUUUGCGGUGGGCGGUCUCCCAGUGUGUGGGGCUGUGGGAGGGCAGCCGCGAGCAAGGGUGUGCGCGGCUCCUUGGGGGUGGGGAGCUUUUAAAAGUUCAGUGUGAAUCAGGUGACAUUUCCCACCUUCUAGAAACCCUUCCCAAUUAUCUGUCGGAGGUGCCCGAAAUCAAAGCGGCUGGAAGGGAAUCGCCGACUUCUUAUUUGCCCACCCCCUGCCCCGAGUUGCUGCUACGAUCCGCGGCCCUGACACCUUCCACCCUGGCGGAGCGGUGCGGAGUCGUGGCCUUCUGUCUGGACGAGUCAGAAGCAAACAAAAAUGUUUAACGCCUCACUCCCCCACUCCGCCCCGUCAGACUCUCCCUCUCCCUUUCUUUUCUCCCCUUUCUCUUCGCUGUGUCUGGAGUUGGAGCCCGGAGCGGGGGCGCCGACGUAGGCGGUCUGCCCCCUCCUCCCGGCUCGCAGACUCCCUAGUUUCUGUCCAGAGUGUCCCUUGUCUCCCAAUCGCUCUCUCUCUCUCUCUCUCUCUCUCUCUCUCUCUCUCUCUCUCUCUCUCUGGAAUAAAAAGGAUUGCAACAUCGAUAAUGAACUUCUGUAGCCUCAGUUUAUUAAGUACAGUGCCUGACAUUCUUCGCUGAAAGUUGGCGGGUCUCUCAUUUAUAACAUUUUUGGCACCGCUGAAUGAAACUGAGGAGGGGAUAUUUUCUUUUACAUAAAAACUAUUAUUUCACGGAAAAUGCUAUAUUGUUUAUCUCAAAGCUGUCUUUUUUAUUUCUAUUCUUUUCGCUUCUGAAGCCAAAACGGCAACAGACAGCGAAGUAUGCAGACAAAAUUCUUGGAU
rnacentral:lncRNA from 1 species